rnacentral:lncRNA from 1 species
AGGAAGCAAGAAGGUCAUUAAGGAAUUAAGAAAGAAUAUACCUAAGCAAGUAAGCGAGGAGAGUUAAUCAAGUAAGUAAUAAUGAAGGCAGAACAAAAGUAAGCAAAGAAUCAAUGAAGCAAAUAAGUGAAAAGAAACAGAGAAGCAAUUAUGUACGUGUAUAAGGAAGUAUGAAAGUAUAGACAUUUGUGUCUGCAUAGAUAAAAGUAUCUAUGAAGCAAGCAAAUAAGUAAGUCAUUAAGGCAGAAAACAAGUAAGCAAAGAAUCAAGUAAGCAAUUACUUAUGAAAGUAUACACAUUUGUGUCUGCAUUAAUAAAAGUAUGUAUGAAUGUAUGCAUGUAUGUAUGAAUGUGUGCAUGAAUGUAUGCAUGAAUGUAUGAAUGCAUCCAUGAAUGUAUGAAUGCAUGUAACAAGUACAUAGGCAUGAAAUCAAAGAAGAAAAUAAGGAAACAAGUAAGAACACACACAAGGAAGCAAGGAAUAAAGAUAAGGACGUAGGUGACAAACCAAGGAAACUGGUCAGUAAGCAAGUAAUGAAGGCAUGUAAAAGAAAUGUAAGCAAAGAAACAAGGAAGCAAGAAGGUCAUUAAGAAAGGAUAUACAGAAGCAAACAAGUAACGAAGGCAUAAAACAAGCAAGCCAAAGAAUCAAACAAUGAAACAAAGAAUCAAGGAAGCAAAUAAGUAUACACAUUUGUGUCUCCAUACAUAAAUGUAUGAAUGCAUAAGCAAAGGAAUCAAAGAAGAAAAUAAGGAAACAAGUAAGCGCACACACACAAGGGAAAUGACAAUCCAAGGAAGCUGGUAAAUUAAGCAAGUAAUGUAGGCACAAAAUGUAGAAGAAUCAAGUAAGCUUGCAUAUGUAAUCAGAUCAAGCACAAAGAUAAAUAUUGAAGAGAACGUACUUGAAAAAAGCUAAACCAGAGGCACAGAGAUACUAAAUCUUGACCAUAAUCGAUUAACCUAGCCGAACGGAGAGAAAACCCUUUCCUAGAUCAUGAUCGCCGUGAUAUUUUU